rnacentral:rRNA from 1 species
AUACGUAGGUGGCAAGCGUUAUCCGGAAUUAUUGGGCGUAAAGAGGGAGCAGGCGGCAGCAAGGGUCUGUGGUGAAAGCCUGAAGCUUAACUUCAGUAAGCCAUAGAAACCAGGCAGCUAGAGUGCAGGAGAGGAUCGUGGAAUUCCAUGUGUAGCGGUGAAAUGCGUAGAUAUAUGGAGGAACACCAGUGGCGAAGGCGACGAUCUGGCCUGCAACUGACGCUCAGUCCCGAAAGCGUGGGGAGCAAAUAGGAUUAGAUACCCUAGUAGUCCACGCCGUAAACGAUGAGUACUAAGUGUUGGAUGUCAAAGUUCAGUGCUGCAGUUAACGCAAUAAGUACUCCGCCUGAGGAGUACGUUCGCAAGAAUGAAACUCAAAGGAAUCGACGGGG